AAAUCGACCGAAAAAAGAAAGAAAAUAAAUGGAAAUGGAAAAUAAAAGGUAGCGUUCCAGAAAAGCUAAAAAAAGUCACCGUGGCUUUCCCUGCAAUUAGGGUUCUUUUCCGUUCUCUUCCUCCUUCCACCUCUCGCUUUCAGUUCCCCUCCCACUUCCAGGGUUUUGUAUGAUUGAGGGGUUUGAGCAGUGGAAGAAAAAUUUGUGUAGAAUUGGGAUAAAGUUUGUGUGAUUGAUAGAUUGGGUUGGUAGCUAUGUCGUGGUUUCGAGCUGGGUCUAGUGUGGCAAAGCUUGCCAUUAGGAGAAGUUUGUCGAAUAGUGGAUCCUAUGCGGCUAGAAGGCGGGUCCUUCCGUCCCAAAGCCGAGAUUUUCACACCACAAUAUCUAAAUCGAGGGCUGCCCCGGUUCCACGCCCUGUACCCCUCUCCAGGCUAACUGAUAGUUUCUUGGAUGGAACCAGUAGUGUUUAUCUGGAGGGGCUUCAGAGGGCUUGGGAAGCUGAUCCCAAUAGCGUCGAUGAGUCGUGGGACAAUUUCUUUAGGAAUUUUGUGGGGCAGGCCUCUACCUCUCCCGGAAUUUCGGGGCAGACCAUUCAAGAGAGUAUGCGCUUGUUGUUGCUUGUGAGGGCAUACCAGGUUAAUGGCCACAUGAAGGCUAAAUUGGACCCUUUGGGUUUGGAGGAGAGAGAUAUCCCAGAUGAUUUGGACCCUGCUCUAUGGGUUCACUGAGUCUGAUCUCGACAGGGAGUUCUUUUUGGGGGUCUGGAGGAUGGCUGGGUUUUUGUCUGAGAACCGUCCUGUGCAGACCCUUAGGUCCAUUUUGACCCGGCUUGAGCAGGCUUACUGUGGGACCAUUGGGUAUGAGUAUAUGCACAUUGCAGAUCGUGAGAGAUGUAACUGGUUGAGAGACAAGAUUGAGACUCCUACGCCCAUGCAAUACAAUAGGCAGCGCCGUGAGGUUAUUCUUGAUAGGCUUAUUUGGAGUACACAGUUUGAGAACUUCUUGGCUACUAAGUGGACAACAGCAAAGAGGUUCGGACUUGAAGGUGGAGAAACUCUUAUUCCGGGCAUGAAGGAGAUGUUUGAUAGGGCUGCUGAUCUCGGGGUUGAGAGCAUAGUAAUUGGAAUGCCUCACAGAGGCAGACUGAAUGUAUUGGGUAAUGUGGUGCGGAAGCCUUUGCGUCAGAUAUUUAGUGAAUUUAGUGGUGGUACAAAGCCUGUGGAUGAAGUUGGGCUUUACACUGGGACUGGUGAUGUCAAGUAUCACUUGGGAACCUCUUAUGAUCGACCCACAAGAGGUGGGAAGAGAAUUCAUUUAUCUUUGGUUGCAAAUCCAAGUCACUUGGAAGCUGUGGACCCUGUCGUUGUCGGAAAAACUAGAGCAAAGCAGUAUUAUUCAAAUGAUGCGGACAGGACCAAGAAUAUGGGCAUUUUGAUUCAUGGAGACGGUAGCUUUGCUGGACAAGGUGUGGUCUAUGAGACUCUGCAUUUGAGUGCUCUUCCUAACUACACCACUGGUGGGACUAUACACAUUGUGGUGAACAACCAAGUUGCCUUCACAACUGACCCAAUGUCGGGAAGAUCUUCUCAGUAUUGUACUGAUGUUGCCAAAGCAUUGAAUGCCCCGAUUUUCCAUGUAAAUGGUGAUGACAUGGAGGCAGUCGUUCAUGUCUGUGAGCUUGCCGCUGAAUGGCGCCAGACUUUCCAUUCUGAUGUUGUGGUGGAUUUAGUGUGCUAUCGUCGAUUUGGGCAUAAUGAGAUUGACGAGCCAUCUUUCACACAGCCCAAUAUGUACAAGGUUAUUCGGAAUCAUCCCUCAGCUCUAACAAUCUACCAGAACAAACUUCUAGAGUCUGGACAAGUGACCAAAGAAGACAUUGAAAGGAUACAAAACAAGGUUAAUUCAAUUCUCAAUGAAGAGUUCUUGUCUAGCAAGGAUUAUGUUCCUCAAAGAAGGGACUGGCUUUCAUCUCAUUGGUCUGGAUUUAAGUCACCUGAGCAGAUUUCUCGUAUCCGGAAUACUGGGGUAAAACCAGAGAUUUUGAAGAGUGUUGGCAAAGCUGUCACUGCCCUUCCAGAAACUUUUAAACCUCACAGAGCAGUAAAGAAGGUGUAUGAACAACGUGGACAAAUGAUUGAGACUGGUGAAGGGAUUGAUUGGGCAGUUGCUGAAGCACUUGCCUUUGCCACACUACUAGUAGAAGGUAACCAUGUUCGACUGAGUGGUCAGGAUGUUGAAAGAGGUACCUUUAGUCAUCGGCAUUCUGUUCUUCACGACCAGGAAACUGGGGAAAAGUAUUGUCCUCUUGACCAUAUUACGGCUGGCCAAGAUGAGGAAAUGUUUACAGUUAGCAACAGCUCACUCUCAGAGUUUGGUGUUCUUGGAUUUGAAUUGGGUUACUCGAUGGAGAGUCCAAAUGCAUUAGUGAUUUGGGAAGCUCAAUUUGGUGAUUUUGCCAAUGGAGCUCAUGUUAUCUUUGAUCAGUUUUUGAGUAGUGGGGAGUCCAAGUGGCUUCGUCAAACUGGGCUUGUUGUGCUGCUUCCUCAUGGUUACGAUGGCCAGGGCCCUGAACAUUCUAGUGCCCGCCUAGAGCGAUUUCUUCAGAUGAGUGAUGACAAUCCUUUUGUCAUACCUGAGAUGGAUCCCACACUUCGAAAGCAAAUUCAGGAAUGCAAUUGGCAGGUUGUGAAUGUGACAACUCCUGCCAACUACUUCCAUGUACUGCGUCGUCAGAUACACAGGGAAUUCCGCAAGCCUCUUAUUGUUAUGGCUCCUAAAACCUUCUACGGCACAAGGACUGCAAAUCAAAUUUAUCUGAGUUUGAUGAUGUGCAAGGCCACCCAGGUUUUGACAAGCAGGGGACUAGAUUUAAGCGACUCAUCAAGGACCAGAAUCACCACUCUGAUCUUGAGGAGGGUAUUAGACGGCUGGUUCUGUGCUCUGGCAAGGUUUAUUAUGAGCUUGAUGAACAGCGAAGAAAGGUUGAAGCAAAGGAUGUUGCAAUUUGUAGAGUGGAACAGCUUUGCCCCUUCCCGUAUGACCUUAUCCAGCGAGAGCUGAAGCGAUAUCCAAAUGCUGAGAUAGUUUGGGUCCAGGAAGAGCCAAUGAACAUGGGUGCCUACAGCUAUAUUGCACCCCGCCUUAGCACUGCCAUGAAGUCCCUGGGUAGAGGAACUAUCGACGACAUCAAAUAUAUUGGCCGUGCUCCAUCAGCUGCAUCAGCCACUGGUUUCUAUUCGGUUCAUUUGAAGGAACAAAGUGAGAUUGUACAGAAAGCGGUACAGAAGGAGCCAAUUGAAUCUCACAGCUGAAGCAGCGCCUCUCAGACAUUAAGAUUUUUUGCUUCUUUGUUUAAUGCUCGUGUUUUGAGAACAAGGUCAAUCUGCUUUAUCAUCAACGACACAAGGUUGGUUAGACUUUGGCCAUUCCGGAUGAUUAUCUUUCGGAUAUUCAUUGUUAUUUCCCGUUAUGUAUUUGGUUAAGCAUGAUUAUACUACUUGGAAGGUUUUUGUCUCGUCCUUUCCACUCCUUGAAUUUCGUUAAACUGAUAUCUCCGGCGGCAUGUAUCUCAACACCACAACAAGAAUUUGAUUGCAAAUGA